GACGAACGCUGGCGGCGUGCUUAACACAUGCAAGUCGAACGAAGUGGCGAACGGGUGAUUAACGCGUAAUCAACCUGCCCUUCAGAGGGGGACAACAGUUGGAAACGACUGCUAAUACCGCAUACUGAAGGAUGGGAUUGCGUCUGAUUGGCUAGUUGGAGGGGUAACGGCCAACAAAGUCGAUGAUAAGUAGCCGGGCUGGGAGGAUGUACGGCCACAUGGGGACUGGGACAAGGCCCAGACGCCUACGGGAGGCAGCAGUGGGGAAUCGUCCGAAAUGGAGGAAAGUCUGACGGAGCAAAGCCGCGGGAGUGAUGAAGGCCUUCGGGUUGUAAAGCUCUGUUAAUCGGGACGCGGUACCGGAAUAGAAAGCCACGGCUAACUACGUGCCAGCAGCCGCGGUAAUAC
rnacentral:rRNA from 1 species